GGGGCGGGGCGAGCGCCGGCCGCGCGGAACCGUUACGAGCGCGAGGGAGGCGGCAGCUGGCGAGCGCGAGACUGGCGUGCCGCGCGCCGCACAGGCGGCACUAAUCGAGUGCCGAGAGAGCUCGGCCCGGCGCCGCGCCGUCGGCCGCCGUGGCCGGAGAGAAGGCGCCGGGCAGGGUGUGGGGGUCCUAGGCGCGCCGCUGCCCCCUUGGCCCUGGCCGGCAGUUCCGGGUCCCUUCGGCAGGCGGCACCACUCCGCGCUCGGGACGCUGGGGCCCGGUCCCAGCCACGCCCGCCUCGCCCCUGUGCGGGCUGCAGACCUGCGCCCACCGAGAGCUGCUCUUCCGCCCUCCGGGCUACCCCGGACCGGCCCCCGCUUUGCUAUAACGCCGAUAUAACUCGGCACAGUCGCUGUUACUAGGUUUAACAGUUUGGUUCUCGAGCUCUCUGAUCGUGAGAAAGGAUAACAAGGACUGUCAUCACCCUUUGCUUUAAACCAUGUGAAAUACAGAAAAGCAGAAAGUUCCCCCGCGGCUUUGGAACCCCCCCGGCCACCACAAGGUGUUUCAGCGCUCUCCCAUUGCCCCUCUCAUCUCUCCCUUUAGUUCUUCCACUCUCUUCUGAGAUAAGAACUUUCAUCACAUUGCUUGUGGAUAAUGCCGUACUUUCAGCAUGCUUGGUUUUGCUGUCUGGAAGCACGUGUUCGUUUUGCACAAAUACAUUGUUAAAUGUCUUCCACAGUUAACAAUACUAUGCAGCUGAUUAUGCACAAAGUUCAAACCCUCUGACUCCAGCUGAGCUUUAUAUUUUCAUAUGUUAUUGGUGUGAUUUCAGUACUACCUUUGUAAUAGCAGACUGUGGGUAUCCUCCUUUUGGCUGUGUACUAACAAACAAUUACUGAAAGCAUUUGUAAUUUACAUAGCCAUUAACGAACCAUCUCAGAAAUUUCCUCUUUAGCAUAUCAUUUUCUUGGGUGGAUUUCUAGUGCAGAAAUGAAGGCCUGAAGAAAUACCCUGUGUCUCAGGGAAAGUCGCACUAGUAGCACUUUGACGGGAUGGUGCAUUAGCAUAUGAUACCACUAUUUUCAUAUUGGCACUGCAAUUGCAGCGUGCAGCCAUAGAGACUGAGAAUUCAGGCUUCUGAGAUCUCUGGUUAUGCAAUGGUAUAAUACAACAUAUGUGGGUGGGUGUAAGCCUGAACCCAAAACAGCAUGGUUACUGAAGAUACUGCAUCGCUGGUGCUCGUAUUUCUGUUCCCUCAUGGGUUUGGUUGCUGUGUGUUGAAUAUUCUGCUGCAGACAAAGCAAAAAGAUUUUUUUUCUAAUAUAUCUGAAAUUGUCUGAAGUACAAGCAGGAAGCGUGACACUUCAUAGCUUCCUGCAGAGGAUUUCACACCCAACACUAAAGGCAGUAGUGCUUAUUCAGACAGUCUCCCUGUGUAGAUGAUUGAUGUGUUGCUCUUGUGGACAGUAAGGAGGGGCAGAAUUAAGAUUGCACUGGCAACGUUAGUGGUAGCAUUUCCUGUGGGAUUUGUGUGGGAUUUCUUUGUAUGGGAACAUAGUAGAGGAUUGUGUUAGUGUAGUGAAAUUAUCUAAGCUUACAACAUUUUAAAAGACUGAGCCAAGGAGAGGCUGAAAUCAAUACAAGGGGGUUUUAAUGUUGACGUAUGAAAGUUCUCAUAAAUUAGACUUAAUAUAAAGGCAGAUCCAUAAUAGAUCAGGAGAAGGUUGGAAGAGGAUGAUUUUCUGCAAUCAAGUUUUCAUCAGAAUAGCAAACAACUUUGUGUGAGAAAGCCCUUUUGCUACAGGCAGACAUUCUGGAAAAUGUGCUGGCAGUCCGUACCAGAGUUCAUGUUGACUGUCUAGAGAAAAAUAAGUUUUUGUCAUCAAAGUCAAUAUACAACUGGGAGUCGCAUUUUGCCCUGGUCAUGCCAGCAUAAAUUAUAGCUCAAUUUGCUAACUUCUCAGGAAAUGUUUUACAUUGCUUUGUCUGCCAGGUGUUAAUUAUCAAUAUCUGUCCAAUUAAGAAAGGAUUGCCCUUUCAUUAAGAUAUCUCUUUCAGCCAUGUUUGUUCCAUGUCUACCGGCUGACAUAGUAGGCUUUCUUAUCUUACCGUAAAUACUAGGCAGUGGCAUAUUUUAAUGACUCAUUUGGGUGAAACAAUUUCCAUGUACAAGACAAACUAGUUAUAUAUAGAAUCUUGAUGAAGAAAAAACAGACCAGUGUGGUUAAAGGAAGAUGCCAUUUUGUUCUCUUGAUUACAGUGUGAGCAAGGAUGUUUUACAAACUCACUGACAGUUACAGAACAGGGCACUCUAUUGAGAACUAUUGUUAGAGUAGGCGUCCAAUAAUUCUACAAUUUUAUUAUCAGAUCAGCUGGUUUUAUGGUUUCAGGUUUUGUUGUGUUUGGUUUGGGGUUGUUGUUGUUUUCACAGUGACUCCUUAAAUUUGAUUUUUUAACUCGUUAUUUUUUGUUUAGAUUUUACUAUCUGGAUCAGCAGUGGGACACAGCUAUUUGACUGUAUGGCAUUGGUAUAGAUCCAGCUGAAGUCACAAAGUACUGGCUUAAUGAAUCAUUAAUGGAAUUCAGAACAAUUUAUUUCUAUGCCACUGGUGCAAAUCCAAGUAAGGUCAAGAGACUAGCUGGCUCAGUGGUUCAGUAAUAGGAAACAGACUUCCAUCUCCAACUUAUUGAUGCCAGUCUAUAAAGGGUCAGGAAACUAAGUUCUGAGACCUUAAAACACAAAGCUUUUUCAAUGCGACCAUUGGUUUAAAGUCAGUCUGUUAUGCAUGAUUGCUUUCUGAUCUGUUUUUACAGUCUGUAUUGAUCUAUAAAUUAUUUAAGAGGAUAGUAUAAAUAUGCUUUCUGCAUAGCCACUGAUACAGCACAAUAUUCAUCACUCUAGCAAAAAAAGGCACAAGAGACUGUCUCUCCAAACAACCUCUUCCUUUAGGAAAGCAUCUGGGGGAAAGAACAGAACAUACAUCACAUUUUAGCUAUGUUAUGUAAGACCAGCAAAUUAUGCGAAUGUCUUCAUCGACCAUGCUGCCAUGUCCAUGUGCCAUCCUUGCCAUACCAUCCUUGCCAGAGGCCUCCUUUACUUUAUGGGUUUAUACCUCUAGUCAGGAGCAGGAACCCAGCUACAGAAACUGUCCUAACCACUAGUGAGAGGGAAAGUGUGUGGCUUGCUAGGGGUAAAACUGCAUCACUCCUUGCACUGCACCCAAUUUGCAAAGUCAUAUUUGUCUUUUAAGAAAAGACUCCCCACCUCUACCUGAAAGAUUACAAUAUGAAAGAAGCUCUUAACUUCUCCACUUGGUAACAAACUACACCACAACAUAUCUCAUGCCCAGUUUCAAUACGUGCAAUGACAGGCAUGUGGAAAACUCCUAAAGGAGGAUGGCCUGUACAGAUAUCCUUGCAUACAGCCUCUUUUCUUCACUGUUUCCUCCUACUCAGAUACCUGCCGUGGUGUAACUUUUGAAAUGGCACCAUAUGUUAAGGAGACAACCUCAUGUAUAUUCUCAGAAACAACAUCAUCUGGCAGAGUGAAGUUUAUUGAGCUUAUAUGAUAUGAUUUUGGUGGCUCUGUGGUAGUGACAACCAUGUAAAUCCAUGUGACGGUGCACUCCCCAACCUCCUCCUCUGGCCUUGCCAUUAUACCCAACACUGUCCUGCUAACUACUAAAUCUAUGAGCCAAUCAUCUUAUCCCAUAAAAAGAGAGAACCCCUUGAGCUUAACUGUGUGUGACCUCCCCAGUUCUUCCUAAACAUUGAGAAGCUUGAAUGACUGUAGUCACAAGGUGGCUUAUGUAGAGUAAUUGUUGGAAAUAACUUAUUGGGAUACUCCCCUCUUAGAAGAAGAAAAGUAUUGAAGAAACCUCAGGGUAGAAUGCAGCAAAUAUACUAGAAGUCUGUUCCAUGUAGUUCCCUAAGCAACCUAAGACCUGCAAAUCUUAGAUUGUUGGCAGCACCAGGGGAACUUAGUAUGCUGACUCUGAGAUACAGCACAGAGGGUGGACCAAGGUGUAAAACUCCUCAGCCAGUCUCUCUAAGAUCACAGGGAUGGGAACUUGUUAUUAUGGAACUGAUAAAUUGCAUAGUAAUCAUCCUGAGUUAGCAACUUUUCCAUUUACUGUUGCACCAGUCACAACAAAGAUAGGUAUGAUUAGAAUCAAACUCCACCUGAGAGUAAGAUAAAAAUGGCCUAAGAGAGAAGGAAUUUUGGGGAAGAUAUCUUUGCUGACAAAUGAGAAGGACAAAGCUGACUUCUGGGACUAGUCAACGGGCUGAGCCUCUCUUCCUCCCCACAGGGGUGCCUAUUGGGUAAGAUUCAGAUACUUAAACCAAGCUAUGCCAAGUGCUUUCCCCAGGAAACUUAGAAAUCUGUACAGAAUUAUUCCAUAGUUUAACACAUUUUUGGACAACUGUAUUAUUUACGCUAUUGGUAUUUACACUUUCUCCAUAGGCAGUGUAUUUAUCACUGGCAAUCCAAAAGAAUCUGUAAUCUGUUGCUCCAAUACAGAAUGUUGUUUUAUAAGCAAGUCGUGAAAGUUCUCAUUGGUGUGGCCAAUGGUCAUACAAGUCCCUUGAAACAUGAUAGAACUUGUAGGACCAAAGUGGAUAUUAAGCCUUUAGCACAACACUCUCCAACCCUGUUCCCUUUCAGUCAUUUUUUUUUCCUCUCAUACUCUGGUCAAACUAUAAAAGCAAAUCCUUCCCCAGCAUCCUGCCUAGGUGUAAGGGUAUAAUAUAACCCUAUCUUCUAGCUAUUCAGUACACAAAGCUGAUCCACACUCUAUUGUUUGAGAUUUCAGAUGUUGCCAUUUUGCCACUCAAUUGAGUCUUUGGAAAUUAAUGUUGCUUAGAUCUCUGUCAUAGGUGUUAGUGUUACAUUAGGCAGAAACAUUUGUUUCUAUACAGACUUUCACAGACAGAAUUUGAGAAGUGCCAGGCAGGGAGGUCCCAAACUAAAAUAUACCCUCAGCUUGGUAACAAAGGUUUGAUCCUGUCACUUAGGAGCAGUGGAGGUCCUGAAGAUCGUGUACAAAGGAUCCUGUACCUUUUGUUUUUGUCCAUCAUUCACUGAUCUGGUCCCACUACAAGAGUUACUUCUCUGUAUCACCCUAAAGAAGACACACCUGAUAUUUCCCAUAGUUCUUUUCAUCUGCCAGAGUAGGAGUUUCUUGAAGAACAGUACAUUAAACAAGGGCUUCCACUUCCAAAAAUUUGGAACUGGUGCCAGCCAAGGGUUAUUUUUCAUGUCUUUUGCAGGGAUAAUGAAAAGCUUGACACUUCUGAGUACCAGUUCUUCUGGGUCACUGCAGUCCUUACUGACAAUCAUCCAGAAAACAACUUGUCUAAGAGCAGAACUGAGGUCUUUGAGAGAGGUACGCAUUACAUGCAGCAUGACUACAAAUGCACUUCAGUGGAUUAACUACUAGUAUGGGUGCCUAACAAAAAUAAAUGAAUCUUAGUAUGACUCCACAUGAAUGGCGUUGACACAUUCAAUUGUCUGUGCUUCAUUUGCUAGAAAACAGUAGCUAUUUUAGAAAAGCUGUUGAUGAGUUUAGCACAGACAAAGAAUAGACAGAUUUUAAAGACACCGUACUGGAACAUUCUAUUUUUGAAAUUUCACUUUGACAAAACUGCCUCAUUAAGGACCUUGGUAUGUAAAGCUGGAGAAUGUUUUCAAUCUCAUAUAAACUAAAUUCAGAAUUCUGAUGAGCUGAAUCUGUUCUUUCCACACAUUAUUUUCCUUUAUCUGUAUUUUCACUUGUUUCUGUGUAAGAGAUGAAAUAAAAACGUAUGAAA